UUGCUUUCAUAACUAUGAGUUUUGUGGUCGGUAACUUGUACAAUUCUCAUUUUCUUCUCCUCAGAUCAAUGUUGGCUGUGAAAACUAUGACGCAAGUUAUCACCAGAGAGGGCCAGAUCGGUGCCUUCCUCCAGAGAGGACAAGACCAGCCCGCUCCUCCUGAAAAGCAAGGGUGUGAACGGAUCAACGCUGAAGCUGAAGCGCCCUUAAGCAAAUGUAAGACGCAGUGGUGGGCAAGAGAAAGCCUCCGGCCUCCUCAUGCGGGGCGCCCAGUCACUGUACUCGGAACCCAGAGCCUACGUUGGAGGCAGUGUCUUUGUCAUGGCCAGUCUAAGAGCAUUGCUGUCGCCCUGGCUGAACUGGUGUCACACAGCCCUACAGGUGAGUGUUUCUGAACUUUCACUAUGGACUUGUUAUUAAGUAUUGUGGUCAAUAUCU
rnacentral:lncRNA from 1 species